ensembl:lncRNA
ACAUGGUUCUCCUAUGGCAUUGCUCCAAAGAGCCUGUUUUUUAGCACCUUUAUUUUUUUAAAGUGUAUUCAGUUUUGAGAAUAUUGCUGAUAGUCCAAGACAUGGAACAUCUUUGGUCAAAACUGAGAACAAACUUCUAAGAUACAGUUUUUUUAGUUAGGCUAUGCUACUGAUUAAGAUCUAUAUUGUAUCAUUCUGAAUUAUUAGGACAGUGCAUCAUAGCCACCUUGACAGCAUUACAGAAAGCUGCCCUGUACUUACCUCCAAAUUAAGAAAGUAAAGUCAUGAAAGAUCAAUGAAAAGAGAAGAGAGGCUUGGCAGAUUUAAUUAAUUACAGCAUAUUAAAAUGUUUGUUUACAGAAGUGAAUACGUACAAGGGGUCUGAUGUUAAUUAAUUUGAAACGUUCUUCCCCCAGCCCCUGCGACAUGUCGGCAGCAGCUGAGGUAGUUUCAUGGCAGAUGCUGGUGGGUGGCAUUGCUGCAGAGCGGCGAGAAGCAAGCGAGAGAGAGAGAAGUUCACUGGGGUGAAAUGGGUGCAGUGGUUCAAUCAAGGCUUUGCUCGGAUUGAGAAGACCCUAAGAACCCAGGCAACAAAGGCAGAUGCUGUGGUGUGUGUCUCUACUGUAAGUGCCUUUUGAAGAAUUGGCACAGUCAUCUGGCGAACACCUCACAUCUCUCACAAACAAAUGAAGACCCAGUGCUUCAAAGUGAGAUUGAUAUCUCUCUCUGAAGUUUAUCCCGAAUAUUCUGAAUAUUGAGAGAGGUGCACUCCUCCCUUGGGAUCGUCGCCGCGCCUUCUACUCCCCUGCUCUGCCAAAGAGGGGAAAAAGAUUGCCCCUGUAGAUCUUUCAUGUUCAUCAAUAUUCACUCAUUCAUCGUGAACCAUGGCAGCUGAAAUUCGUCCAAGUAUUGCUGGAUGGAUGGCCCGGGGAUCCACUUUGUCGCAGUUCAGGCAGGGAGACGCGCUGAGAACAAGAGAAAUUGGUUUGGGCCCCCGGGAGCUGAAUCGAUGCCUAAGGAGGUCAACAGCUGUGACAAAAAAUCAAAAUCCAUUUUCUGUGGCCAAAUGUAAGGAGGACCAAAUGGUGGAUGUUCCAUUCAUCUCUUAGUGCUGCCUGAGCACUCUUCCACCAGAGGCAGCAAGCCUGCUAAAGCAGGUGGAAAAGCUGGGGGGGAACUUUAUCUGAAGAAGAACUGCACAAGGCUAGUGGUCACAGAGACAGUGUGCUUUUGAGCUUUUGUUCUAUUUGCACUGGUGGUAAGUGUAUCUAGU